CGGACGGGUGAGUAACGCGUAGGGAUCUGUCCAUGGGUGGGGGAUAACUUUGGGAAACUGAAGCUAAUACCGCAUGACACCUGAGGGUCAAAGGCGCAAGUCGCCUGUGGAGGAACCUGCGUUCGAUUAGCUAGUUGGUGGGGUAAAGGCCUACCAAGGCGAUGAUCGAUAGCUGGUCUGAGAGGAUGAUCAGCCACACUGGGACUGAGACACGGCCCAGACUCCUACGGGAGGCAGCAGUGGGGAAUAUUGGACAAUGGGCGCAAGCCUGAUCCAGCAAUGCCGCGUGUGUGAAGAAGGUUUUCGGAUUGUAAAGCACUUUCAGCGGGGACGAUGAUGACGGUACCCGCAGAAGAAGCCCCGGCUAACUUCGUGCCAGCAGCCGCGGUAAUACGAAGGGGGCAAGCGUUGCUCGGAAUGACUGGGCGUAAAGGGCGCGUAGGCGGUUGACACAGUCAGGUGUGAAAUUCCCGGGCUUAACCUGGGGUCUGCAUUUGAUACGUGGCGACUAGAGUGUGAGAGAGGGUUGUGGAAUUCCCAGUGUAGAGGUGAAAUUCGUAGAUAUUG
rnacentral:rRNA from 1 species